UACGGGGGGGGCAAGCGUUGUUCGGAAUUACUGGGCGUAAAGGGCUCGUAGGUGGCCAACUAAGUCAGACGUGAAAUCCCUCGGCUCAACUGGGGAACUGCACAGGAGACUGCUUGGCUUGAGUUCGGGAGAGGGAAGCGGAAUUCCGGGUGUAGCGGUGAAAUGCGUAGAUAUCCGGAGGAACACCGGUGGCGAAGGCGGCUUCCUGGACCGACACUGACGCUGAGGCGCGAAAGCCAGGGGAGCAAACGGG
rnacentral:rRNA from 1 species